UACAGAGGGUGCAAGCGUUAAUCGGAAUUACUGGGCGUAAAGCGUGCGUAGACGGUUACAUAAGUCGGGUGUGAAAGCCCCGGGCUCAACCUGGGAAUUGCAUUCGAGACUGCGUAGCUAGGGUGCGGAAGAGGGAAGCGGAAUUUCCGGUGUAGCGGUGAAAUGCGUAGAUAUCGGAAGGAACACCAGUGGCGAAGGCGGCAUCCUGGACCGGCAUUGACGCUGAGGCGCGAAAGCUAGGGGAGCAAACGGG
rnacentral:rRNA from 1 species